rnacentral:rRNA from 1 species
AAUAACCGGACGUAAGAAAAGACAGAGUCGCAUGAUCAGCUUUUAAAAGGCGGCGUAAGCUGUCGCUAUGGGAUGGCCCCGCGGUGCAUUAGCUAGUUGGUAAGGUAAAGGCUUACCAAGGCGAUGAUGCAUAGCCGAGUUGAGAGACUGAUCGGCCACAUUGGGACUGAGACACGGCCCAAACUCCUACGGGAGGCAGCAGUAGGGAAUCUUCCACAAUGGACGCAAGUCUGAUGGAGCAACGCCGCGUGAGUGAAGAAGGUUUUCGGAUCGUAAAGCUCUGUUGUUGGUGAAGAAGGAUAGAGGUAGUAACUGGCCUUUAUUUGACGGUAAUCAACCAGAAAGUCACGGCUAACUACGUGCC